rnacentral:rRNA from 1 species
UACGUAGGGGGCAAGCGUUGUCCGGAUUUAUUGGGCGUAAAGAGCGUGUAGGCGGCCACACAGGUCUGCUGUGAAAACUCGAGGCUCAACCUCGAGCUGUCGGUGGAAACCGUGUGGCUAGAGUCCGGAAGAGGAGAGGUGGAAUUCCCGGUGUAGCGGUGAAAUGCGCAGAUAUCGGGAAGAACACCCGUGGCGAAGGCGGCUCUCUGGGACGGUACUGACGCUGAGACGCGAAAGCGGUGGGGAGCGAACAGG